rnacentral:lncRNA from 1 species
UUUGCAAGAUUAUUGCAACAAUUUUAUUAGAUUAUUAUGCCCUGGUUGUAAAUGAAUAUUUACAUAUAUAUAAAUUUGUAAUAACCUGAAAUUUAUAUAAAUAAAAAGAAAAAAAUACUUCAUAAUCUAUAUUGUCCAAUAAGCUAAUAUAUCCAUAAAACCAAAAUGUUUUAACCCAAUCACAUAAGUUUUACAUUGAGUUAGAGUAAGUUUCAAAUGUUGAUAACAAAAGAUUCCUAGAACAUCGACAACAAUUCAAAGUUCUUAAGUAAGGUCUAGAUCUUCACUAACUCCAUCUUCCCUUUCUUCAAUUGCUCCACCUACAAAAGAGAAUAAAUAUAGUCAUUACCUUUCAAGGGUUGGUUUAUCAUUAUAAGAAUGGGUAUGGUCCAUGAACAAUGGAUAAAGCACAAAGUUUUCAAAUGUAUUAUAGUCAGUUGCAUGUAAAAAAUCUAACAGAUAGAAAGAAACAAGUUAACACAAAUGAAGAAGCCAAAGUUAAGUAACAAAUCCAAAUCAUCAAAACCAAACUUGUAAACAUAUAUAUAUUCAGGCAAAUUGAGAGCAGUCACAUUCUAAAUUACUGCAAAACAAAAGGGGUUAUCAACUUCAAAAUAAAUAAGGAAUUAUCCAUUAAGGAGAAACUAAUUUACUGGAAAACAAAAGAAAUUCAAGCUUUUAUCAGAAACCUUAAGGAUACCACUGAAGGACAUAUGAAAGCUACCUAAAAGGAAAACCAAAUCUCUUUUCCAGAUAAUAAAACUUUAGCAUAUGCAAGUCAUAGUGAAGGCUUUUUAGUAGAAUAAUUGAUCCAAAAGCAAUAUACAACUAUCUCAAUCCAAGCUAGUUGUGGCAUGCCACAUAAAUCUUCACUAUCCAAAAGUUAAACACGGACGUAAACACAUGACUGACCAGACUAUUGUUCUCGUAUGUGUAUAAUUUCUUUAAAGCUUGUCAACCUUUCUCUAACUCCUCACUUGAACCAGCAAAUAAUUAUUCCUUCCUUAAAAACCUCUUAGCAACUAAUUUAGUAGUACAAGCCAAUGAAAGUCAAGAGAAUGCCGUAAGUAUAUGUUAGAAUGUUCAAGAAUCACUCUAUGCAUAUAGGUUAAUACUAUAGGAUAUUCUUCUGAAUUGUGAUGUAUCUUUUACUUGAUAAUGUGAAGUAUUUGUAUGCAAUAACAGUACCAAGAAGAUACCAAAAACAGCACAAAAUUUGGGCUUGUUUAAACAAAAUACGGAAGCCCAACAAGUCCAGGAUAUCUUUUAGGCUAGUUACCAAAAAUUCAUUCAGCCAAAAUACUAAAGUUUUAAAUACAUCUGUAUUUCAUAUAAGUAGUAAUAGGAUCUUUUUCCCCCGUCAAACAACUAUUGUAAUAAUUGGGUACCCCGAUACUUGGAUAAAAAUUCCUCAUCUUUAAUAGCUUAAACUUCUGUAUAAAAAGCCUCUUGUAUGUUGUUAACAAUAAACUCUAAUACUCUAUGCAAGUACUCUCUUUUAUUCUCUUAUACUUUAAAAUAGUAUUCUGAGAGAGACUUAAGCUGUUAUGCCUACCCUACCAAAAAUUCCCAAUUGAUCCACAAAUUUAGUAGUCCUCACCUAAAUUUUAUGACCAUUUGAGUGACACUACUCUUCUUACUAAUGAUGACUCUAGCUUUCCAUCACUGUUCUGGUGUUCUCUAGCCACUACGCCAUCCUAAAUUUAUGGCAGCGUAUUGAAAAUAUGCCUAGGGUUUAUUUAUCCAUCAAUAUCAGCUAACCUAUCAAGUAACACCCAACAGCUAAAUUUGAAUUCAAUUAGGCAUGAUCAAGUUUAAGAUAACAUUAUAAAUUUACAAACAUGGAACCAAACUAACUUUUUAAUAUUCAAUCAAAGAACAACACUCUAAAGCCAAAUAUUCAAGAAGCAAACAGCUUAAAAAUAUUUUUUUGAUAAAAAAGAUGGCACAAGAACCAUACUUAGACUAAGAAAUUUCAAGAAUUAAGAAAUGCAUUUAUGUAUCACUACUACUUUAGCUAGUCAAAUAAUAUCUCAUGAAACAUUUAUCUAGACUGCUAGUAUUACCCCUAUUUCCUACGUACGUUUUUCCCGUUAUUCCAAAAUUUGCAACUUGUAAGCUUACAAAAAUGAAAAACAUAUAAUGUUUCACCAUUCACUCAAUUACUUUAUUUUUAUUGUUCAGAUGUUUAAGUACUGUUCCACCAUAGGCUCUAACUGAUAUCAUAGAGGAACAUGUCCUGUCCUUGAUGAUAUUAAAAGUUUUAUCCUUUUGUUCUAGUAUAAAAGAGUAAUGAAAUGGUCAACACACAUUCUUUCUAAACCAGGUAAACAACCAAUCUUUGAACUUCCCAUUUUUCAUUAUCAACCAAUUAAGUAAUUUACUAAAUAAUUCUUUUUUUUUAUGCAGAAAGUCAUUUCAAGAUUCUCUGAAAAAUUGAAGAAAAUAAUCAAACAAGAAAAGAAAAAACUCAGAAAAAGAAUUCAGGGAUUUAUAAAAACAAAUCCAACAUAUGCAUAUUAUUUCAAAAGCCAAAAUCAAAACUGAUUCUUCAAAAACCAAAUAUAAAUCAAACCCCAAACCCAUCAAAUGCCACCUUAGGAAAUUAAAAUAUCUUUUUCUUCUGAUGUUCUAUUAACAAAAUAGCUAGGAUGUUGGUUUUCCUGAAGUAUAGUCAGCUACUAAUAGGAAUUGCAUACUUGGAAGAAAAUAAGCUUGUCAUAGAUACAAAAACAAACUUAGAUACAAACUACCCAACUUAAUAGCUCAUGCUACAGGAAAGGCAAACUUAUUUAUUCUUGUCUUCCAAGUGCGGAUAACAGAAAGGCACCAAUUCUUGAAAGUGUGAAGAUUUGGAGAUUUUCUAAUUCUAUUUGCUUUCUUUCUAGUAACAUUACCUAAUUUUUAACAAGAAAAUUUCAGCAUUAUACCAUUGUACUAUUAACACUACAUGUUCUAUGUUUUCUCCAACCAAAAAAAUAAAAAAUACAAGCAUGUUCUGACAAAACAAAAGUUAAAUAAAUCCUGAAAUCUUGGCAAAGAGUAAACUUAUAUAAAGCUAAUAAAACCAUCAAAAUGCAGACAUCUUUAGGUAAAACCAACAUACCUUUUACCAAAAAAACCAUUUUUUUCAACAACCACCAAACCCUAUCCCCCCUCCCCCUCCUCCUUCCCUACAAAACAGAAACUAAAAAUAAACACCUAAACAUUUGGAAAAAAUAAACUGAUACACAAAGCUAAUAAGACCAUAAAAAUAUGAUUUUUCUGCUUCAAAAAUAACCCUAAAAAAUAAGUAAUACAGCAAAGUCUAGCCCCUUAAUUUUUUCGUGCUUCUUUUCUUGAAUAAUAUUACAGUCAAAGCAAGAAAUUAAAUACAUUGCUCACACCCUAAGGAUUAAGGAAAAAACAAUGAUUAAAUAAAAAAAAUACUCUUACACCUGAAGUUAGUUUCUCACAGAGUGCCUUUUGGGUCGAAAAGUUCUCGCGAUUGAAGUAGUUUUCUCACCUUUAAUCGUGCCUUUUAGAUUUUUCCUUUGUUCUUCUUUGAUGCCUUCUCUUCUUCGAAUAACAGAAAAGGAUUGAGACUUUGGGGGUUUGGGCUAGGCCAGCGAUUUGAUUUGAGGAUUUGGGGAUUUAGGGUUAGCCAUAGAUGGAACUCUCAAGGUGAAAGGAAAGAGCAAUGAAAGGGGUUGAGAGCUUUCGAGGUACGGUGUUGAUGCCUUUGAGUUCUAGGGGUUGGGGAGAUGAAUGGGUUUAUUGGGAGAUAGCUUUGGAGUUAUCGAUAGUGGAAUGUUUUUGUUAUUUAAUUUAUAUUAAUUAAUAAAAUAAAUUAGGGUUUGGCG